rnacentral:lncRNA from 1 species
GAAGCCCGAGAAGCUGACUUUAACUGGAUCCUUGCGUGAUAUGGUAGGAGUAGAGGAAUGGCUUCCUUGUCGGACGUCGAACUCUGGUAUCCAGGUGACUCCACCAAGGCAGUUGAACGAGGGGUUCAAUAAAGAUCAGACACUAUUCCCCAUCCACCUGAUGGGCAUUCAUCUUGCGGUAGAGGGCGAGGGAUAAUGCUUCCAGUAUAACUCCAGUGCCCAAUGACACACAGAGGCAGCGGAAGCGUACGACGAAGCAGGAUGAGCUGGUGGCAUACCUGCAGUCGGCUGAUCAGGAGAGGGCUGGUGCUCCGAAGCAGCAGGAGGACUUCAUAAAGGACGCCCUGCGGGAGAUGAGGGUAGAUCAGAGGGAUCUCCUUCAGCAGUUUACGAGGAUGGUGGACAAGAUGUGGAGCGACGAUCCUGUCCUUGCCAAGCGACCAGUCCGUUGUCGAUGCACAAUGACGACGGAAAACAGCAUUUAAGUUCAAUGCUUUUCAAACAUUUAAGUUCAAUGCUUUACAAGCAUUUAAGUUCUAGUUCAUUCAGGUUGAAUUAACCUUUGUUUUGCACCAUUUUGUUCACUUUUAUUUAUUUAUUUGCACUUUAAGUAUUUUAUAGAAACAAUUUGCACUUUAUUUACUAAGAGUUGUAUUAUUACAAGAGUUGCAUUAUUGUAAUAGCUUUG